GACAAGGCUCUGCUGAUAGCCAGGUGUACAGUAGCAGUGGUAAAGUGUUGGGACUGCUGUUGGGACUCUGCUGUUGGGACAGUUUUAUGUAGACCCUAACAGUUUGUGGGCACCGUUUGUUACCGUUACAGUGCAAUUAAUGUAUUGUUUAGUGUUGUGCUGUGUAGUGGCUUUGCUGGCAUUUUAUGCCCCACUAAGAUUUACAUGCUAAAAUCGCCUCUGGUUAUUUCAUAGUUUUGAUGACUUCACUAUUAUUCUACAAUGUAGAAAAUAGUCAAAAUAAAUAAAAACCCUUGAAUGAGUAGGUGUGUCCAAACUUUUGACUGUUACUGUAUCUCUUAUUCCAAUGUAAAGGGUUUGGUAUAGAGGCAAAUAUUUCAUCAACGCACGAGGUCUUCGCGCCAUUGGCUGCUGCUGAUGAGGGCGGGUAGAGCGUGCGAACCCCAGCUCCGGACUGUGAGGGAGCGAGAAAAGUGAGACAAAAAAAGGAAAACGAGGGAAUUGCUCAGGACUCUCAAGCAUCCGAACAAAUCUGUCCUCCCAGUACUGCAGUUUGUGCCCAGUUUGAGCCAUCCAAUCUGCCUGUGUUACAGCUAAACUAAACACGACACUGACUAUCUUUUCGUGGGACCUGGCAUGCGCCACGGGACGCUACGUAAACUUUGUGCAGCAGUGGAGGCUAUCUGACAACGGACUGGAGUGACAGAGUGAAUAUACAGUUUGCCUAUUAAUUUACUAACUCGCAGUAGACGUGGAGGAAGAACGGGGAGACGGGUGGAUUAUUAUGCAACAAGUGGAAAGUAUUAUGGAUACGUACCACACUGCACUUUGGUCCUCCUUUCCUUCCACCAACGAAAAUCGUUACACCACCACCAAAAAAGGACCAAGCAGCGUGGUAACCAGGAGCAGAGGGUUCUGGACUCCUGGACUUGGGAGGAGAUACUGGAAGGCAAGGGACCCUGGGCACAGGCUGGGGAAUAUCGUCGCCCCAAAGGAAGAUCUGGAGGCAGCGAGAGCUGAGCGGCGGCGAUAUGAGGUAAGGCAGCACAACAGGCACGAGAGGCAGCCCCCAAUUUUUUUGGUGGGAGGGCACACGGGGAGAUUGGCGGAGUCAGGCGAUAGACCUGAGCCAACUCCCCGUGCUUACCGGAAGAAGCGCAGUACUGGUCAGGCACUGUGUUAUGCGGUCAAGCGCACGGUGUCGCCAGUAUGCGCUCAUAGCCUGGUGCGCUAUAGGCCAGCCCCCCGCA
rnacentral:lncRNA from 13 species